rnacentral:rRNA from 1 species
UACGAAGGGGGCUAGCGUUGCUCGGAAUGACUGGGCGUAAAGGGCGCGUAGGCGGCUUGUAUAGUCGGAUGUGAAAUUCCUGGGCUUAACCUGGGGGCUGCAUACGAGACGUAUGGGCUAGAGUCCGGAAGAGGAGAGUGGAAUUCCCGGUGUAGCGGUGAAAUGCGCAGAUAUCGGGAAGAACACCCGUGGCGAAGGCGGCUCUCUGGGACGGUACUGACGCUGAGACGCGAAAGCGUGGGGAGCGAACAGG